UACAGAGGGGGCAAGCGUUGUUCGGAAUUACUGGGCGUAAAGGGCGCGUAGGCGCCUUCUAAGUCGAACGUGAAAUCCCCGGGCUCAACCCGGGAACUGCGUCCGAUACUGGAAGGCUUGAAUCCGGGAGAGGGAUGCGGAAUUCCAGGUGUAGCGGUGAAAUGCGUAGAUAUCUGGAGGAACACCGGUGGCGAAGGCGGCGAUCCUGGACCACUACUGACGCUGACGGAACGAAAGCUAGGGGAGCAAACAGG
rnacentral:rRNA from 1 species